GAAACGACUGCUAAGACUGGAUAGGAGAUAAGAAGGCAUCUUUUUAUUUUUAAAAGACCUAGCAAUAGGUAUGCUUAGGGAAGAGCUUGCGUCACAUUAGUUAGUUGGUGGGGUAAUGGCCUACCAAGACGAUGAUGUGUAGCCGGGCUGAGAGGUCGAACGGCCACAUUGGGACUGAGACACGGCCCAAACUCCUACGGGAGGCAGCAGUAAGGAAUUUUCGGCAAUGGAGGAAACUCUGACCGAGCAAUGCCGCGUGAACGAUGAAAAAUUUCGGUACGUAAAGUUCUUUUAUUAGGGAAGAAAAGAUGGUGGAAAAACCAUUAUGACGGUACCUAAUGAAUAAGCCCCGGCUAACUAUGUGCCAGCAGCCGCGGUAAUACAUAGGGGGCAAGCGUUAUCCGGAAUUAUUGGGCGUAAAGGGUGCGUAGGCGGUUAAAUAAAUUUAUGGUCUAAGUGCAACGCUCAACGUUGUGAUGCUAUAAAAACUGUUUAGCUAGAGUUGGAUAGAGGCAAGUGGAAUUCCGUGUGUAGUGGUAAAAUGCGUAAAUAUACGGAGGAACACCAGAAGCGAAGGCGGCUUGCUGGGUCUUAACUGACGCUGAGGCACGAAAGCGUGGGGAGCAAACAGGAUUAGAUACCCUGGUAGUCCACGCCCUAAACGAUGAGUACUAAACGUUGGAUAAAACCAGUGUUGAAGUUAACACAUUAAGUACUCCGCCUGAGUAGUACGUACGCAAGUAUGAAACUUAAAGGAAUUGACGGGACUCCGCACAACGGUGGAUCAUGUUGUUUAAUUCGAAGGUACCCGAAAAACCUCACCAGGUCUUGACAUGCUUUUGCAAAGCUGUAGAAAUACAGUGGAGGUUAUCAGAAGCACAGGUGGUGCAUGGUUGUCGUCAGCUCGUGUCGUGAGAUGUUGGGUUAAGUCCCGCAACGAGCGCAACCCUUGUUGUUAAUUGCCAUCAUUAAGUUGGGGACUUUAGCAAGACUGCCAAUGAUAAAUUGGAGGAAGGUGGGGACGACGUCAAAUCAUCAUGCCCCUUAUGACCUGGGCUACAAACGUGAUACAAUGGCUGUUACAAAGGGUAGCUAAAGCGUAAGCUUUUGGCGAAUCUCAAAAAAGCAGUCUCAGUUCGGAUUGAAGUCUGCAACUCGACUUCAUGAAGUUGGAAUCGCUAGUAAUCGCGAAUCAGCAUGUCGCGGUGAAUACGUUCUCGGGGUUUGUACACACCGCCCGUCA
rnacentral:rRNA from 1 species